UGUGUGUUUGGUGAAAUACACAUAACAGAACAUUUACCACUUUAAUCACUUUUUUAAAAUUUUUAUUUAUUUAUUUAUUUGAGAGAGAGAGAGCACGAGAGGAGAGAGGGUCACAAGGAGAAGCAGGCUUCCCACUGAGCAGGGAGCACGAUGCGGGGCUCGUUCCCUGGACCCGAGACCAUAACCUGAACUGACGGCAGACUCUAACUGUCUGAGCCACCCACGUGCCCCACCUUAAUCAUUUUUAUGUGCACAAUUCGGUGACACUAAGUACAUUCUCAUUGACAGUCUUAAAUUCUGUUGUUUUGUUCAAGACUAAUUUCCUUUCUUCCCUCCUACUUUACCUUUCUCUUCUUGGCUUGACUCCUACCGUCCCAACACAAAGGCAAAAAAUUCUGAAGAUUUGUACAAAAGGGGACAAAGAAUGAUCCACAUGGCACCCACAGCAGGAGAGCACAGCAAAAACACAAGUCAUGGCGUGAACUGGGGAUUAUUUUCCAUUGCCAUGUUUAUCACAGUCCAGCUUGCCCAUGACCUGGGAAGACCAAGAGGGUGCGGCUAUAGCUUGAAGAUCCAACCCAAGGGUCAGGGAGGUGGCCUUGCAGUCCAGACAGGAACCCCACAUGGCCUGCUAAGUGCCACAUCGAUUGCUUUCCGAGCAGUUGUGGAUGUGGAGCAUCAUGGACCUGCCAGCAGCAUGGAAGGGUAUAAUUUUAAUAAGAUGAAAGAAGGCUUGCAGGCUCCUGACAACAAAGAAAAU
rnacentral:lncRNA from 12 species